rnacentral:rRNA from 1 species
CCUACGGGGGGCAGCAGUGGGGAAUAUUGGACAAUGGACCAAAAGUCUGAUCCAGCAAUUCUGUGUGCACGAUGAAGUUUUUCGGAAUGUAAAGUGCUUUCAGUUGGGAAGAAGUCAGUGACGGUACCAACAGAAGAAGCGACGGCUAAAUACGUGCCAGCAGCCGCGGUAAUACGUAUGUCGCAAGCGUUAUCCGGAUUUAUUGGGCGUAAAGCGCGUCUAGGCGGUUUAGUAAGUCUGAUGUGAAAAUGCGGGGCUCAACCCCGUAUUGCGUUGGAAACUGCUAAACUAGAGUACUGGAGAGGUAGGCGGAACUACAAGUGUAGAGGUGAAAUUCGUAGAUAUUUGUAGGAAUGCCGAUGGCGAAGGCAGCCCCCUGGGGCAAAACUGACGCUCAUGCACGAAAGCGUGGGUAGCAAACAGG